rnacentral:tRNA from 1 species
CUAAAAUAGUUUAUAAAAAUACUAACUUUGGAAGUUAAUGAUCGAGUAUUCUCGUUUUUG